rnacentral:rRNA from 1 species
UGUGAAGGAAAGGUGAAAAGGACCCCGGGAGGGGAGUGAAAGAGAACCUGAAACCUUGUGCCUACAAGCACAUAGAGCCCGUCAAAGGGUGAUAUGGUACUUUUUGUAGAACGGUCCGGCGAGCGAUUGUACGUUGCAAGCUUAAGGUCUUAAGGACUGGAGGCGUAGCGAGAGCGAGUCUAAACAGGGCGUUUAGUAGCGUGCAAUGGGCCCGAAACCGGGUGACCUACCCAUGAUCAGGCUGAAGUGAAAGUAAAAUUUCAUGGAGGGCCGAACCGACCUCCGUUGAAAAGGCGGCGGAUGAAUUGUGGGUAGCGGAGAAAUUCCAAUCGAACUCGGAGAUAGCUGGUUCUCCCCGAAAUAGCUUUAGGGCUAGCCUCAUGUUAGAUAUCCGGAGGUAAAGCACUGAAUGGCCUAGCGUCCGAGAGGAUAGCGAAGCCUAUCAAACUAAGAAUGCCGGAAUAUUGAUGCAUGGGAGUCAGACAGUGUGAGAUAAAUCUCAUUGUCAAAAGGGAAACAGCCCAGAUCUACAGCUAAGGUCCCAAAUUGUAUCUAAGUGGAAAACGAUGUGGAAAUACGCAGACAACCAGGAUGUUGGCUCAGAAGCAGCCACUCAUUUAAAGAGUGCGUAAUAGCUCACUGGUCGAGCGUCUCUGCGCGGAAAAUUUAACGGGGCUAAGAUACAAACCGAAGCUUAGGCUGCACUUUUAGUGCGGGGUAGGGGAGCGUUGUGUAAGCGGAGAAACAGUAGCGAAAGCGGCUGUGGAGUUUACAGAAGUGAGAAUGCCGGAAUGAGUAGCGCGAAUGAUGUGAGAAUCAUCAUGGCCGGAAACCUCAGGUUUUUGGAGGAAGGUUCGUCCGCUCCAAGUUAGGCGGGAGCUAAGGUGAGGCCGAAAGGCGUAGCCGAUGCACAGACGGUAGAGAUUCCGUCCCCACCGAAAGAUUUAAGCGCAGGGACACUUUUAGAAGGUCGGAGCCAGGUGUUGGUUCUGGUAGAGAUCGAGGGAAAUUUAGUACCGAAGUCCGGCUGGAUAAGAGGCGAGAAAAGCUGCGUGUAUAUCUAAGGUGCCCGUACCGCAAACCGACACAGGUAGGUAGGAAGAAGAUUCUAAGGCCAACGGGAGAAGGGUUGUUAAGGAACUCGGCAAAUUGACCCCGUAACUUCGGGAGAAGGGGUGCUCCAGAGAUGGAGCCGCAGAGAAUCGGCCCAAGCAACUGUUUACCAAAAACACAGGUUUGUGCUAAAUCGAAAGAUGACGUAUACGAGCUGACGCCUGCCCGGUGCUGGAAGGUUAAGAGGAGAUGUGCAAGCAUUGAAUCGAAGCCCCAGUGAACGGCGGCCGUAACUAUAACGGUCCUAAGGUAGCGAAAUUCCUUGUCAGGUAAGUUCUGACCCGCAUGAAAGGCGUAAUGAUUUGGGCACUGUCUCAACAGCCCGCCCGGCGAAAUUGUAGUACCGGUGAAGAUGCCGGUUACCCGCGACAAGACGGAAAGACCCCAUGGAGCUUUACUGUAGCCUAAUAUUGGGUUUCGAUGUUGCAUGCACAGGAUAGAUGGGACACAGGGAAACAAGUGCUUUGGCAUUUGUGGAGUGGCCGUUGGGAUACCAUCCUUGCGAUAUUGGAAUUCUAACCUGCGCCUUUGAAUCAAGGCGGGGGACAUUGUUAGGUGGGCAGUUUGACUGGGGCGGUCGCCUCCUAAAGAGUAACGGAGGCGUUCAAAGGUUCGCUCAGCUUGAACGGAAAUCAAGCAAAAGAGUGCAAACGCAGAAGCGAGCCUAACUGCGAGACUGACGGGUCGAGCAGUAACGAAAGUUGGAGUUAGUGAUCC